CAUUUCCAGGCUGGUCUCUGUGGUUUUUAUUAGUGUUUCCUGGGACCCAUCAAACAAAUAAACAUAUUUUGAAAAAUAUAAUUCUUUGACAAAACAGGAAUAGCAGGAAUAGUUUGAAUUUAACAUAGCUUAAAGGGAAAGAUUUCUGAUUUUUUUUAAAUAGUAGCAACUGAGGAUAAUUCAGCUCUGAUAUUGUGAUUACUGUGAUGUUCUUUCAUUCAUACAGUAAGUAUCUGCCCAAUACGUAACUACCGAGAUCUAUUGCUUCCUACAUAAUUAGACAAGCUCCUCACACAUAUGGGCCCAUGCCGUGCACAUAGCAGGCACUCAACAAGUGUUUGCUUAACUACAGAAGAAUAAUAUAAUUGCCUUCCUUCUUAACUGUUUUACCUUUUUCUAUACUUGAUAUAUUUGAAAAACAACAUGCUUGCAAAACUAAAAUCUAACAUGCAUUACUAACUUUAUCAAAAGAUCCCUCAGUAUUUUUCAAAAAGGAAAAAAAUAAUAAAAACCAAUCCCCCAAAUACUAAAACUUAGAACUGCUUUACACUUAAAUAGCAAUUUACAUCAUAUUAACAUAUUCAUAAUCUUCAUUGGUUAAAACAGGUCAAAGGUUUAUUACUGGCUUCUCAUACCAGAUAAGUCUCACAGUUCCCAAUAAGGCAACAGAAUCCUCAUCCAACAUAUAUUGACUUGUGGAACCCAACGGCCUGUUUUGGUUUCAUUUCAGCGCAAGUAGAAGGCAAAAUAAAGAGUCUCACAGUAAAAUGUUCUUGUCCCAUGCUAGGUAACAGGAAAAUAAUAGUGAUUGAUAAGACAUAGUCCCUGUCCUCAAAGAGCUAACAGUCUAGCAAGGCAGGAACUUUGAGAAAAGACCAAUGUGUUCAAAGGAAAACUCACAACCUGGGUCUCCCUUCUCAGAUGGCACAUUCAAGAAACUGUUGCUUAUGCCCCUGGGAGCCAGAGCCUUACUUAAGUCUUACCAAGUCAAAUAUCUAUCAGCCUCAGAUGAUUUGAGCCUGGUAAAGUCUUAGCAAUAGAUUUGCUGCCUCAUGUUCCCAUGAAAACCUAAUAAGAGAGAGCCCUUUCAACUCAGGCAUACGGGGGGUUUAAGGAUAACAUGUUUAGUGACCAUGUGGACAUUCAGCACAGGUGAGCUUCUCAAGUGAGAGCCAUGUGUCCCCAAAAGAAAGGAGGGUUUAUCCAUAAGACUUUGCUCUCCCUUUCAACACUGUGGUGGGAAGUACUCUGUUACCACCCCAAGUUGGCAUAGCUCGAUUACUUUAAGUUCUCCAAGUCACGAACAGCACAUAGAAAAUGCAGCAAACUCAAGUCAAGACAAUAGAGAGAUAUGCUGAGAACUUAAUACUCAAGCCUUAAUCAGGCACCAGAUGCCAAGAAACCUUCACUCUCAACAAACAACACAAUCCACUAAUUAUCUGUAGAAUUGUUGUAGUUGGUACUCUUCACAUUCACUUACUCCUUAGCAAAGAUUGCUCUUGAAUGGAAAGGUUGCAGAAAGAGCCAAAGCCAAUUUGGAAGAAGUGAGAAACUUACAGGUUUGAGGAAUGGUGAAGUCAGCGAAGGAUCUAGCCUCCUUAGAUGAUGAACAGGCAAAGUCAGAGAAGGAACCACAGUGAGAGAAUUGGCAGAUGCCCCUAAUAAAAUCACACAACUCAGACACACACACAGACACACAAAUAUUCAUGCGUUAUACCCAUUCAAGUAACUGGAUAUUUAAUUCAUUCUAUGCAAUGAACAGUCAAAUGCUGGGAAGGCCCCAUAGUUCUUUGGCCUUCUUGUAAAGCAACAUAUGUCUUUUCUGCAGGAAUGUCUGAGUUGCACAGUCAAGAUCGUUGCUGUUCAUUGUUCUUUUUCUCAGCUCUUUCAGUAACUGUUACUUGACAACACUAAGUUAAACCUUUACAGAAGUGACCAAGCCAGGCAGAAAUAAAAAUGGAUUUGGUU
rnacentral:lncRNA from 1 species